UAAUUUUUUUAAAUGGCCGCGGUAUUCUGACUGUGCAAAGGUAGCAUAAUCGUUAGUUUUUUAAUUGGAAUCUUGUAUGAAUGGUUUGACAAAAGAAAAUCUGUCUUUAUAUUAUUUUUUGAAUUUAACUUUUAAGUGAAAAGGCUUAAAUAAAUUAAAAAGACGAUAAGACCCUAUAAAGUUUAAUAUUAAAUUUUUAUUUAAUUAAAUUUUAUUUUUAUAAAAAUUUGGUAAAAAAAUUUUAUUUUAUUGGGGUGAUAUUGGUAAAAUUAUUAUUAACUGUUAAUUUUUUUUAAACAAAAAUAAAUGAAUAUGAAUUUAUAAAAGAUCCUGUAUUAUAGAUUAGAAGUUUAAGUUACUUUAGGGAUAACAGCGUUAUUUUUUUUGAGAGUUCUUAUCGAGAAAAAAGUUUGCGACCUCGAUGUUGAAUUAAAAUAUCUAUAUAAUUGUAGUAGUUAUAUAARAAGGUCUGUUCGACCUUUAAAUUUUUACACGAUU
rnacentral:rRNA from 1 species